rnacentral:rRNA from 1 species
AUUGGACGCUGGCGGCAUGCCUUACACAUGCAAGUCGAACGGCAGCAUGAUCUAGCUUGCUAGAUUGAUGGCGAGUGGCGAACGGGUGAGUAAUACAUCGGAACGUGCCCUGUAGUGGGGGAUAACUAGUCGAAAGAUUAGCUAAUACCGCAUACGACCUGAGGGUGAAAGUGGGGGACCGCAAGGCCUCAUGCUAUAGGAGCGGCCGAUGUCUGAUUAGCUAGUUGGUGAGGUAAAGGCUCACCAAGGCGACGAUCAGUAGCUGGUCUGAGAGGACGAUCAGCCACACUGGGACUGAGACACGGCCCAGACUCCUACGGGAGGCAGCAGUGGGGAAUUUUGGACAAUGGGCGAAAGCCUGAUCCAGCAAUGCCGCGUGUGUGAAGAAGGCCUUCGGGUUGUAAAGCACUUUUGUCCGGAAAGAAAUGGCUCUGGUUAAUACCUGGGGUCGAUGACGGUACCGGAAGAAUAAGGACCGGCUAACUACGUG